AGAAUCAACGCUGGCGGCGUGCCUAACACAUGCAAGUCGAACGAGAAAGUGGAGCAAUCCAUUAGUAAAGUGGCGCACGGGUGAGUAACACGUGACUAACCUACCCUUGAGUGGGGGAUAACCUAGGGAAACCUGGGCUAAUACCGCGAUAAUUACCUUCGGGUCAAAGGAGCAAUUCGCUUAAGGAGGGGGUCGCGGCCGAUUAGGUUAGUUGGCGGGGUAAUGGCCCACCAAGACUAUGAUCGGUAUCC
rnacentral:rRNA from 1 species